rnacentral:rRNA from 1 species
GCCAACGUCCAUACCACGUUGAACACACCGGUUCUCGUCCGAUCACCGAAGUUAAGCAACGUCGGGCGCGGUCAGUACUUGGAUGGGUGACCGCCUGGGAACACCGCGUGCCGUUGGUUUUU